rnacentral:ribozyme from 1 species
UGCCCAGCAACUCCUAUCCCUACCUCCUCGUGGUACUGGCCGGGGUACGAGCAACCUUAGGGAAGAUAACGGGAGGG